GUAUAAAUAUAAAGUUUAUUCAGCAUAGUGUUUAGAAAAAUAAGUUCACAUCAUUUCAGAAAACAAAUAAACACUUAAUUGUCCAGGCAUAAACCCCCAUUACAGUACAACAUACAUACUUUAGAUCUCUUUGGUUGGGUAAUUAAGCACAGAAAUGUUCUGGGACAUGCUCUGUGUGCCAUCACCUAACAGUGCAGUAAAGACUCUGUUACCCCACCCCAUGAUAUACAUUCUGUAUAGAGUUUCUCUUUGUGUAAGGCACAGUAAAACCAUAUUGAGUAUAUAAUUGGUUGCCUCUAAACAUACAGUACAUGCAACAAAAGAAUAUUUUUGAGAACCCUGAAAGCCAAAAGUCACAUGCUAUAUAAUUUUGAUUAAUAAAAUGUAUGAUGAUAAAUUAACAUGAAAUGUAUCAAUUAGAUAUAAAGUAACUGCUAGGCUCUAUUAUCUAAGUUUUACAAAGAGUUUAAAAUAUCUUUUGUGAAAUGUAAUUAUUUUCCCCAUAGUUUUCCUGAAUUAUUUUUAUUAUGAGAUGAUCUGUCAAAACAUUUUAAAGAAUGAAGAACCUGUGGCUAUGAACUAAUGCACGCUUGUCUAGCAUGUAGCAGGGCAGGCUGCCACACAUGCCCAAUAAUCCAACUUUUAACAUGCAAGAUACAAGGGCAUACACAGAGAGAUUUAAGGUCAGUGUGCAAUUUAACUAUGGAUUUUUACCUAUGGCUAUAGUAUCUACCUGCCUUUCGUAACACAAGAAAGGCACUGAAACGUGUACAAUUUAAAAAGUCUUUUCAUUACUAUAAAUAUACAUGAGAUAUAAAGCAGUACAACACAGGUGCUCUUGCUUGAUUGAGGAACAAAUGCACCUUCUCUUUAAACAAUAGACUGUCCUUUACUAGAUUUAACUAAGAGCUAAAUGCCAAACUCUGGCUGAUAGAGUGCAUAGAUAGGCUUACACCAAAAAUCCCACAGCCAGCAGCAUGGGUUGGGUUUUGCAGGGAGUCAUUUACCCCUAUUUUGAUCUUCAGGGAUCAUUAGAGGGUCAUUUGCAGCAUCUUCAAGCAUUGGUUUAUGUAAGAGUGAAAUUCUGCCACAUGAACUCCAAGGGUUCUGGGUCUGGCCCUUGGUGGCAAAAGACAUUUGCAAUUCUGUGCAAGGAGAUCGUGGGGUUUAUCUUACUCCAUUCACAUAUACAUGGGCUACAUACCAACUGGCCCUUAUUCUACUGAAAGAAUAGAAAAGAACAAUAAGUUCUUUACAAUGUGCAUUGAUUCUUACCUGGUAUAUUGUGUAGCUACCUGAAGUAAUUGUAGGGUUAUAAUUACAUCAUGGUGGGAGUAUGAAUGGGUUUCCUAGGUAAGUCUUAAGUUUUGUGCUAUCUUUUCUUUUUCAUAAGGGAGAAAAGAGGAAGAACGCGGAAUAAAAGAGAGGCUUAUUAUAUUUUCAGAAAACAUAUAAAACAUUUCCAGUUGUAUAUAUGUAGCAUAUAUAACUUUAAAAACCUUCCCAUCUCUCUUAUUGGAUGGGUAUUUGAAAAUAACAAACUCUUGAUAUCUGCAGCAAUCAAGUGGAAAACAUCAUUUUUAUGUAAACUACACUACAGAGCCAUGUAAUUAAUCUCAGUAACAGGAUCAGCACACACCCAAAGGAAAAACAAGCUCUGUAAGUUGUAGUAGAGUGGAAAAGAACUCUAAAACACCUGACUUUGUAAAACAAAACAAAAAACAUCUAGCUUCAGCAGUUUAGGAACAUUCACCAAUUCUAUAAAAAAUGAUGGGAGAGGAAUUCUUCAUAGGGUUCUUCAUAUAUGCCUGCAAGUUUCAUUUAUGAUAACAAAAGUU
rnacentral:lncRNA from 1 species